rnacentral:rRNA from 1 species
AUUGAACGCUGGCGGCAUGCCUUACACAUGCAAGUCGAACGGCAGCACGGGUGCUUGCACCUGGUGGCGAGUGGCGAACGGGUGAGUAAUACAUCGGAACAUGUCCUGUAGUGGGGGAUAGCCCGGCGAAAGCCGGAUUAAUACCGCAUACGAUCCACGGAUGAAAGCGGGGGACCUUCGGGCCUCGCGCUAUAGGGUUGGCCGAUGGCUGAUUAGCUAGUUGGUGGGGUAAAGGCCUACCAAGGCGACGAUCAGUAGCUGGUCUGAGAGGACGACCAGCCACACUGGGACUGAGACACGGCCCAGACUCCUACGGGAGGCAGCAGUGGGGAAUUUUGGACAAUGGGCGAAAGCCUGAUCCAGCAAUGCCGCGUGUGUGAAGAAGGCCUUCGGGUUGCAAAGCACUUUUGUCCGGAAAGAAAUCCUUGACUCUAGUACAGUCGGGGGAUGACGGUACCGGAAGAAUAAGCACCGGCUAACUACGUG